UACGUAGGGUGCAAGCGUUAUCCGGAAUUAUUGGGCGUAAAGAGCUCGUAGGCGGUUUGUCACGUCUGCUGUGAAAACUGGAGGCUCAACCUCCAGCCUGCAGUGGGUACGGGCAGACUAGAGUGCGGUAGGGGAGAUUGGAAUUCCUGGUGUAGCGGUGGAAUGCGCAGAUAUCAGGAGGAACACCGAUGGCGAAGGCAGAUCUCUGGGCCGUAACUGACGCUGAGGAGCGAAAGCAUGGGAGCGAACAGG
rnacentral:rRNA from 1 species